rnacentral:rRNA from 1 species
AGAGUUUGAUCCUGGCUCAGGAUGAAUGCUGGCGGCGUGCCUAACACAUGCAAGUCGAGCGGCAGCGAAGGGUGCUUGCACCCUGUCGGCGAGCGGCGGACGGCUGAGUAACGCGUGGGAAUCUACCCUAAAGUGAGGGAUAACCGCCCGAAAGGGUGGCUAAUACCGCAUAUGAUCUUCGGAUUAAAGGAUUUAUCCGCUUUAGGAAGAGCCCGCGUUAGAUUAGGUAGUUGGUAGGGUAAUGGCCUACCAAGCCAACGAUCUAUAGCUGGUCUGAGAGGAUGAUCAGCCAGACUGGAACUGAGACACGGUCCAGACUCCUACGGGAGGCAGCAGUGAGGAAUCUUCCACAAUGGGCGAAAGCCUGAUGGAGCAACGCCGCGUGAAGGAUGAAGGCCUUCGGGUUGUAAACUUCUUUUAUGAGUGAAGAAUAUGACGGUAACUCAUGAAUAAGCACCGGCUAACUACGUGCCAGCAGCCGCGGUCAUACGUAGGGUGCAAGCAUUAUCCGGAGUGACUGGGCGUAAAGAGUUGCGUAGGCGGUUUAAUAAGUGAAUAGUGAAACCUGGUGGCUCAACCAUACAGACUAUUAUUCAAACUGUUAAACUCGAGAGUGGUAGAGGUAACUGGAAUUUCUAGUGUAGGAGUGAAAUCCGUAGAUAUUAGAAGGAACACCAAUGGCGUAGGCAGGUUACUGGACCAUUUCUGACGCUAAGGCACGAAAGCGUGGGGAGCGAACUGGAUUAGAUACCCCGGUAGUCCAA